rnacentral:rRNA from 1 species
UACGGAGGGGGCUAGCGUUGUUCGGAAUUACUGGGCGUAAAGCGCACGUAGGCGGCUUUGUAAGUUAGAGGUGAAAGCCCGGGGCUCAACUCCGGAAUUGCCUUUAAGACUGCAUCGCUAGAAUUGUGGAGAGGUGAGUGGAAUUCCGAGUGUAGAGGUGAAAUUCGUAGUUAUUCGGAAGAACACCAGUGGCGAAGGCGACUCACUGGACACAUAUUGACGCUGAGGUGCGAAAGCGUGGGGAGCAAACAGG